ACGCUCGACACCUACAGGAGGCAGCAGUGGGGAAUAUUGCACAAUGGGGGAAACCCUGAUGCAGCGACGCCGCGUGAGCGAAGAAGUAUUUCGGUAUGUAAAGCUCUAUCAGCAGGGAAGAAACUGACGGUACCUGACUAAGAAGCACCGGCUAAAUACGUGCCAGCAGCCGNGGUAAUCUGAGCGGGCUGGCAAGGC
rnacentral:rRNA from 1 species